rnacentral:rRNA from 1 species
UACAGAGGUCUCAAGCGUUGUUCGGAUUCAUUGGGCGUAAAGGGUGUGUAGGUGGCGCGCUAAGUCGGGUGUGAAAUUUCGGAGCUUAACUCCGAAACUGCAUUCGAUACUGGCGUGCUUGAGUACUGGAGAGGAGACUGGAAUUUACGGUGUAGCAGUGAAAUGCGUAGAUAUCGUAAGGAAGACCAGUGGCGAAGGCGAGUCUCUGGACAGUUACUGACGCUGAGGCACGAAGGCCAGGGGAGCAAACGGG